UUUAACAUCCUCUUUCGCGUUCCGACCUAUCCCUCUACCUUCAACCCACCCAUAACCCUUCAACAAAGCAGCCCCAAAUCCCUCCACUGGCAUAUCAGUAUAUUCAUCAAUCCCGUUAUGCUCUGGCAACCUCUUCAAAUCUUCCUUAAACUUAUGCAACAUCGGAUCAAUCACCUGUUUAGGGUUCGGGGUCGGAUUAGGGUUAGGGUUCGGACUAGGAUUAGGGUUUUCUGAUUGGCGGACAUUGAGGCCGUAAGAGAUUCCAUCUGACGCCGGUUCGACUCCAGCGCCAGAGUCAAGUUCGAAUUGAAGUGGUUGAUCGGCAGCAGAGGCAUCCGCUUGGAGAGGGACUUCGAGAUUUUUCAUCCUUUUGAUGGGGCGCCAUUCGUUCUGCUUGGGAGGUAUUAUGAGUGUAUCUUUGGUGGAACUAGCUGCAGCUUUGGAAGGGUCAAAUUCCGUGACGUACUCUUUUUCGAUUGGGUUUGAGG
rnacentral:misc_RNA from 1 species